UUUGCACAAUGGNCGAAAGCCUGNUGCAGCAACGCCGCGUGCGCGAAGAAGGUCUUCGGAUCGUAAAGCGCUUUUCGGGGAGAUGAGGAAGGACAGUAUCCCCGGAAUAAGGCUCGGCUAACUACGUGCCAGCAGCCGCGGUAAAACGUAGGAGCCAAGCGUUAUCCGAAUUCACNUGGGCGUAAAGCGCGUGCAGGUGGUCUGGUAAGUUGGAUGUGAAAUCUCCUGGCUCAACUGGGAGAGGCCGUUCAAUACUGUCAGACUAGAGGGCGACAGAGGGAGGUAGAAUUCCGGGUGUAGUGGUGAAAUGCGUAGAUAUCCGGAGGAAUACCAGAGGCGAAGGCGACCUCCUGGGUCGCACCUGACGCUCAGACGCGAAAGCUAGGGGAGCGAACGGGAUUAGAAACCCCGGUAGUCCUAGCCGUAAACGAUGUAGACUGGGUGUUGGCGGGGUAAAAGCCGUCAGUGCCGAAGCAAACGCGAUAAGUCUACCGCCUGGGGACUACGGCCGCAAGGUUAAAACUCAAAGAAAUUGACGGA
rnacentral:rRNA from 1 species